rnacentral:rRNA from 1 species
UGGGGAAUUUUGGACAAUGGGGGAAACCCUGAUCCAGCCAUCCCGCGUGUGCGAUGAAGGCCUUCGGGUUGUAAAGCACUUUUGGCAGGAAAGAAACGUCAUGGGUUAAUACCCCGUGAAACUGACGGUACCUGCAGAAUAAGCACCGGCUAACUACGUGCCAGCAGCCGCGGUAAUACGUAGGGUGCAAGCGUUAAUCGGAAUUACUGGGCGUAAAGCGUGCGCAGGCGGUUCGGAAAGAAAGAUGUGAAAUCCCAGAGCUCAACUUUGGAACUGCAUUUUUAACUCCCGGGCUAGAGUGUGUCAGAGGGAGGUGGAAUUCCGCGUGUAGCAGUGAAAUGCGUAGAUAUGCGGAGGAACACCGAUGGCGAAGGCAGCCUCCUGGGAUAACACUGACGCUCAUGCACGAAAGCGUGGGGAGCAAACAGG